rnacentral:rRNA from 1 species
UAUGUGAUCGUCUCUCGCAUAUCAAUAAGCGGAGGAAAAGAAACUAACAAGGAUUCCCCUAGUAACGGCGAGUGAAGCGGGAAGAGCUCAAAUUUGAAAUCUUAAAGGGUUUCCCUUUACGAAUUGUAGUUUAAAGAAGUGUUUUCUGUUGAGGUUUUGGUAAAAGUUCUUUGGAAUAGGACAUCAUAGAGGGUGAGAAUCCCGUAUUUGACCUUUACUUUCAACUUUGUGAUACACUUUCAAAGAGUCGGAUUGUUUAGGAAUGCAGUCCAAAAUGGGUGGUAAAUUUCAUCUAAAGCUAAAUAUUGGCGAGAGACCGAUAGCGAACAAGUACCGUGAGGGAAAGAUGAAAAGAACUUUGAAAAGAGAGUUAAACAGUACGUGAAAUUGUCAAAAGGGAAGCGUUUGACACCAGUGUUGUUUUUCUGAAAAUCAAUUAAAGAACUGUUUAUGCUAAGUUGUUUAGACUUUAUCAGCUAUCUGUUUAGUUUUGAGCUUUUCUUUAAUGCACUUUUCAGUUAACAAGUCAACAUCAAUUUCUUUUGCUGUAAAAAAGCUUGAGGAAGGUGGCUUGAGAUUCGUCUUAAGUGUUUAUAGCCUCUUGCCUAUGCAGUCGGAGAGAUUGAGGUCUGCAGCGUAGAUCCUUCGGGGCUAAAUGCAUUUGUGCUAAGUUAUAGCAUUUUAUAGACAACUUGUUGACUAUGAUUUGUCUUGUAGCUUACUCGCUUAUGUUAUUUUACCUACGCUUAGGAUGUUGAUCUACAGAGCGAGAGU